UUUGUCAUUUUAUUUAAAUAUUCUAUUUCAUACAUGACAUUCUACAAAUAACUAAAGUUAUUUAUGUGAAUAUUUUCACAUCUUAUUAAGACUUUAUAUAAAGUUCUCUUUUUGUUGAAGAAUCGUAUCUUUCUAAGCUUGUUGCUUACUGAAACAGAUACAAAAUCAAUGAUUUGUUUUCAGCAAAUUAAUGAACGGUUCUAUUUUUAUAUUCGAUCUUGCGUGUGUGGUGGUUGGUGGUAAUGCAAUAUAUGCUCCCAAUUUCAACGGCUGGUAUAGAUCACCGGAGAACAUAACUACUGCAUCAUAAAUUUUUUGAUGACGAUCAUCUUCAACCUCUCACUUCAUUUUGUUCAAAUACAUAAUAGAUUCAAUAAUUGCUCAUGAAAUUCUAAUUGUAACAUACAAUGAUGAUAUGGUUUAUUUUAUUUAUGAAUAUUUAAUGUUUGAAUAUUACAAUUAAAAUUUUACGAGUCAUUAUUGAUUCUAUUUCAAACUUCAAAAUACAAAUAGAUGAGUUGUAUUGUUUA